rnacentral:rRNA from 1 species
CACGUAGGCGGUUUUUUAAGUCAGAUGUGAAAGCCCCGGGCUCAACCUGGGAAUUGCAUUUGAAACUGGGGAACUAGAGUUCUGUAGAGGGGGGUAGAAUUCCAGGUGUAGCGGUGAAAUGCGUAGAGAUCUGGAGGAAUACCGAUUGCGAAGGCAGCCCCCUGGACAGUGACUGACGCUCAUAUGCGAAAGCGUGGGGAUCAAACAGGAUUAGAUACCCCAGUA